GAGCCCAGCUCCUCUGCAGCACCCACUCAGCUCCGGGGACCCUUGCGCUCCCCACGACAUGCCACAGGGCACACUGUUGAGUGACGCUGGCCGGUUCUCCUGGUUCUGCCCAGAGACCCCCAGGGGCGCUGCUCUCAGGCCUCUUCCCUGGAGCACUGAGCUUCCCGGCCACGUGUCGCACAGCCUCCUGGCAGCCUCAGGGACAGAUACCCCUCAGCCAGGCAGCCCAGCGGGGGGUCUCAGGACCUGCUCCCUUGGCUGGUAGUUGGAAUGCGGGGGCAAAGAGCAACUCCUUUCCUACCCUUCCCUCGGGGAAAGGGGAAGACAUGCCCUGUCCACUCCCAGACCCUCCCAAGGGAAAAGAGGCUGCAAAACACCAUUUGGUGAGAGGCCUGGUGGAGCCAGGAGACGCAGGCGCUCAGGGAGAGACAGGCCCCUCCACACCGGGGCCUCCUUCUGGAAACUUAGUUAGAAUUUGUCCCUGAAUUAUAAUAAGACAGCCUCUACUUUGAAAAGAAACCGGCUUUGAUGUAUUGUUUGGCGGCAGCUCCCCAACACUGAGAUCUGACGUGCCCCCAGAUUCCCUGGGCUCAGAAAACAGGACACGCCGAGGACAUAGAAGCCUGGGUGAGCAGACCCCAAGGGAAGCCCCGGUGUUAGAGAGGAACCUCCCUCCGGAAAGACGCCGGGUUCCUCAGAGGGCCGUUUUCAUCACCAGGCGCAGAGCUUCCGCCACCAAGGAUGUUCCAGCAGAGACCACACAGCCGCGUGGCCUGGACUCGAAGCCAUCGAAGUUUUGAAUCUCUAAGUCCUUAUUUCUUGCCAGCCCAACUAUUAAUAAAUCAAAAGCUCCUUGGAGCGUUGGUUUUUAUUUUCUUCUCCCCUAGAACAGUG
rnacentral:lncRNA from 1 species